AUUGAACGCUGGCGGCAGGCCUAACACAUGCAAGUCGAACGGUAACAGGAAGAAGCUUGCUUCUUUGCUGACGAGUGGCGGACGGGUGAGUAAUGUCUGGGAAACUGCCUGAUGGAGGGGGAUAACUACUGGAAACGGUAGCUAAUACCGCAUAACGUCGCAAGACCAAAGAGGGGGACCUUCGGGCCUCUUGCCAUCGGAUGUGCCCAGAUGGGAGUAGCUAGUAGGUGGGGUAACGGCUCACCUAGGCGACGAUCCCUAGCUGGUCUGAGAGGAUGACCAGCCACACGGGAACUGGGACACGGUCCAGGCUCCUACGGGAGGCAGCAGUGGGGAAUAUUGCACAAUGGGCGCAAGCCUGAUGCAGCCAUGCCGCGUGUAUGAAGAAGGCCUUCGGGUUGUAAAGUACUUUCAGCGGGGAGGAAGGGAGUAAAGUUAAUACCUUUGCUCAUUGACGUUACCCGCAGAAGAAGCACCGGCUAACUCCGUG
rnacentral:rRNA from 1 species